rnacentral:ncRNA from 2 species
AGUAUGUGAGCGAAAAAAGGUACCAUAUACGGUUUGAAAGGGAAUUCGGAAGAGAAACCGAAGCUGUCCCCGCAACUGUGAAUGCGGACAACUGUCAAUUAACCACUGAGCAAUGCUUGGGAAGGAUGACAAUUGGAUGAUGCAUGAGCCAGUAGACCUGCCUUUUUCGCAUGACGACA